rnacentral:tRNA from 1 species
UAGCCUAGUGGUAAGGCUACGGAUCGCCAAUCCGGAGAUGGCGGGUUCGAUUCCCGU